rnacentral:rRNA from 1 species
UGAGGAAUUUUCUGCAAUGGGCGAAAGCCUGACAGAGCAAUACCGCGUGAGGGAUGAAGGCCUACGGGUUGUAAACCUCUUUUCUCAAGGAGGAAGAUCUGACGUUACUUGAGGAAUAAGCAUCGGCUAACCCUGUGCCAGCAGCCGCGGUAAUACAGGGGAUGCAAGUGUUAUCCGGAAUUAUUGGGCGUAAAGCGUCUGCAGGUUGAUAUUUAAGUCUUUUGUUAAACCUUCGGGCUCAACCCGGAAUCUGCAAAGGAAACUAUAUAUCUUGAGUAUGGUAGGGGUAAAGGGAAUUUCCAGUGGAGCGGUGAAAUGCGUAGAUAUUGGAAAGAACACCAACAGCGAAGGCACUUUACUGGGCCAGUACUGACACUCAGAGACGAAAGCUAGGGGAGCAAACA